rnacentral:lncRNA from 13 species
CCACCCAUCUACCAAGAAUUUGAAGUCGUUUGUCCUGAGGGUGCAGCAAAGCAUGUCAGCUUCAUUUUCCAACCUGGAGUUUCCUGGGUCUAUCAGAAACUGGUGGGAGACUUUGAGGCUGGUACAUUUGGGAACUUUAUUUGCAAUGUUCCUCUAAAGUAGACCUUGAAUGAAUAGAAGCAAGAGAAGAGUGCCAGAUUAUUCUGGAAUGCUGUCAAUGUCCUGUGUCUCCGAGAUUCUGUUGUCCCUAUGCCCAAAGAGUCCUGUGGUUAACUCAGGCACCAGUGAGGAGGAAAAAGCAGAAAUGUGAACUCUCAUAGUCACCUGCCUCAGGCCAAGGUCUCUGUCUAGGAACUGCUAUUUGUGAGUCAAUUUCUUGAUGACGCAGUUUCUUGAUGACUUGCUGGAUGUCAAGUGGAAUGUCUUAUUUAUCAGCCUUCUAGGACCCCCACACCUGGUACUGUGACAUCACAAAGAUUGCCAUAGUCUAUGGGAAGGUGACUUCUCUGUUGUGUAUAUAAUGCUGUGGGACUUCCAGUUGUCAGCCUCUCAGUCACUAAGCAGAAGAAAGAAUGGGAAGGCAUAGAGAUUAGAGGGAGAAGGACAAAGAGAUACAAGGAGAGUGACAGGAAGGAAGAAGAAAGGACUGAGAAGCUCAUAAUGCAAGGAAAAGCUGAGCUGACCAGACAUCCAGAACAGAGUCUCUCAAGGCCAGGAAACAGCCCCAGCUCAGCACUUGGCUCUGGGCAGUGACUGGACAAAUGACUGCAGAAUGGAAAAUGGAAGCGACCAGACAGAUAACAUCUCCCUGCUUUCAUGUGUCCAGGACAGGCUUCCCAGCUGGCAGUGAGAAAUGGCAGCAGACCGCCCACCAUACCUGGCAGAGGCAGAUGCAUAGUCCUGAACCUCGGGGACACAGAUACGCUACAACUGGAGAAGACACGGGUUCAUUCCUGGCUACAGACGGACGUGGAAAUGCCAGCCUAUUAAGAAAGCGAGACCUACAGCAGACACACGGCAGGCAGGCAUGUGUUGCACAUGUGAAAAGACACACGUGCGCACACACGCAAGCACACACACACAAGAGUGUGAAGAAGAACAGGAGUUUAAGAGAGUGACAGAAAGCCACACUGAGAGGCUCACUUUCCACAAAGAGAAAUUGUCCAUACCGGCUUUCCGUAGCACCAAUUUUUUUCCCGAAGUGUGCAUUGCUGGAGCCAGGGAGGUUGCUCCUUGACCUUGGCAAACCUGGUUCACCUCUGAGCUGGACCAUCAUGGGCAGAAAGGACAGGGCAGGUACAUAGUUCCAAGGCAGGUACAUUCUUCAAAUCUGGAUUUAAAAAAAGAACAGAAAAAAGUCUAGCCUAAGCCAAGAACUUUGGCUUUGUCAUGUCAAUAGUAUUUAAAGAUGUUAUUUGGCUGAGCUGUGAGCUCUGCAAAUGAAAAACAACUUGGCCCUCUCUUCUCUCCCUUCUCUCCUCUCCAUGUUAGUUUCAGCUCUAUCCUGGGCUCUCCACUGAAGCUUCACCCCUGCAUGGAGCCUAAAGGACGCUUGUCUUGGGAAAACCACGUGUACAUUUGAUACCAGCUUAGUCAGUCCUUUUUCUUUGUGCUGUUUGUGUCUGAGGAAUUUGGAAUGUCUCAGUUAUCCACUGGUCUCCUGAGCAAAAUGGCACUGGGGUAGGGGCAAAGUAGCUUCCUGUCAUUUGAAGGAAGAGGAAAUGGAGGCCCAAAG